UGUUACCAACUCUUAACAAUCAAUAUGCAAAUUAAUAAUCUGGUUAUUUUCAUGUCCUUAAGGAACAAAAGAAAUUGGAUUUAAAGUACUUACAUGCAUAAUUAAAUGGAAGUAUUUCAACAGUGCAACAUUUACUUCAGUAAUGGCAUUAACACAUUCGUGAGACAAUUUCACAGGAACCCACCAAAGUCAUCAUGGAAAACAUACCUACCGCUUGCACUUCAUGCAAGACGCACUUUUAUUGACGGGCAUAUAGCACUCUCUUGUUUCCCAUGUAAAAUUGUGUGCUGCAGUGAAAUGCGUCCCAGUGGAAAAGACCUAAUGUUCCGCACCACGGAGCCGCGUUUGUCAAAAUUGUCCUGCAGCAGUCGGGGGGGGGGGGCCACUGGGGUGGCCGGCAAGUGGCCAAUGUUGGCCCUGGCCACCCCCUAGCUCCGUCACUGCAACUGUCUGAAAAGACUACCGUUCUACAGCUGCUUGACUAUAGAUAAAAGGAAAAUUUGUAUGGACAACAUAUUAAGCAAUAUUUGGAGAGGGCAACAAGAGCAUUGUAAAAUCCACAGUAUAUGCACAGACGGAAAUCUGUCUAUAUUAUCUGUUUUAGUUUGCUGCGGCUUCUGGCACAAAUCCUGCUAUGUCAAGGGGAUGAACACUGACUCUAAAUGCCGACCAUUUGAUCAAGUUACUGAAGGAACUAGUUCAAGUUUCAGUGAAGAGAUAUCAGAGGAGGAAUAUGUACCUGACUCUUACAGUGACUCAGACAAUUCAGGAGAAAUUUUAAUAGGGCCUUCAAAAUAUUUUCAAGAAGUGCCUGAUAAUGAAGUGUUCUGCACUGAGCCUCCCUCUGAAAUUCUGGUGAAAACACCUUGCCAAGAGCAGCUCUUAGAUGAAGUCACGUUACCUGACAUUAAAGAAGCAGACAGUACAAUGCAUCUUGAGAAGAAUUGUGGCGACCCCAAGCAACCCUCAGAGGUCGUUCAGCCUGAAGUUCAGAAAGACACUGUUGAAGAUCAAUUUGAGACCACGGACAAAACUGGAGAAGAUCAGUAUGUACAGUCUUCAGGCGUAUCCUCUUCUGGAAGUAAGAUCAAUUAUUGCUACAUUUGUGGCAAAGCACAGUCAAAAAUUACUCGCCACUUGAAAACCCAUGAGAAGACAAAUGUGGAUGUUGCUCAAGUUUUAGCACUCCCAAAAUACUCCAAAGAACGACAAAGACGGCUGAACAUACUACGGAACAAAGGAAAUCAUAAACAUAAUACAGAAGUUUUAACAAGUGGGACUGGAGUGCUGAAAAUGAAACGCAAACCCAAGAAUAAGCAUGAUGUUAAACAGUAUGUGUAUUGCAUGUAUUGCCAUGCUUUGUAUCUUCGGAGGCAUCUGUGGCGACAUCUUCAAAAAUGCCUCUCAAAACCAGGAGAAACCAACAAAGGGCAAGGAAGAACUAGGGUCCUUUCCUUGGCCACAAUGUCAGAGUCAGCCCUACCUCAACAGAUAUCCCAAGGUGUUUGGAAACUGUUAACUAAUAUGAAAGAUGAUGAAAUUUCUGCUGCUGUGCGAGGUGACUUCUGCAUUCUUCAGCUGGCGCAGUCAUUUUUCAACAAACAUGGUCAAGAUCCCACCAAAUAUGAAUAUAUUCGGCAGAAGCUUCAUGAAGUUGGAAGACUUCUACUAAUACUGUGUAAAGAAUUUUCCAUAUAUAAUCUUGAGGAUGCCAUAAGACCUGCAAAUUUCCAUUUGGUUAUCCAAGCAGUCAAGACGGUGUCUGGGUUUGAUGAUGAAAAGCACUGCUACAAAACGCCAAGCCUCGCACUGAAGUUGGGUCACUCAUUGCAAAAGAUCAGUGACAUCAUCCACUGCAGAGCUUUAAUGACAGGAGACGGUGAGCUGAAAAAGUCAACCCAGACUUUCAAAAAGCUUUACACCUCAAAGUGGUCUGAACUUGUCUCUCAUACUGCUUUGACCACCUUGAAUGAGGCACACUUUAACAAGCCAUCCACCCUGCCUUUUACUGAAGAUGUGCAACGUCUUCAUCAGCAUCUUGAAAAGACAACAGAUUUGGCAUCUGAGAACCUGGGAAAAACGCCUUCACCACAAGUUUAUGGUGAACUUUGCAGAGCAACUUUGGCAAAGAUAAUACUAUUCAACUGAAGACGUGGAGGGGAAGUUGCAAAAAUACAAUUAAACAGCUUCCUUGGGAGGGACACGACGCCUUUACAUAAGUAUGUUGCUAUUGGCCUCACAAAGUUUGAACAAAAACUCUGUGAACAUUUCAGCCGGGUGGAAAUUAGGGGUAAAAGAGGACGAAAAGUUGCUGUGUUGCUUUCACCAGAUGUGGUUGAUUCAUUGACACUUCUUUUCAACAAAAGGAAAGAAUGUGGAGUUCCAGAGAAGAACAAUUUUUUGUUUGCAAGGCCCCACUGUUUAACUCCUUACAGAGGACAGGACUGUUUAAGGACUUAUGCAAAUGAGUGUGGUGCUCAGAACCCAGAACUCCUCAGGUCAACACAGUUACGCAAACAUGUUGCAACGUUGUCCCAGGUCCUGAACCUCAAAAACCACGAACUGGACCAAGUUGCAGACUUCCUCGGCCAUGAUAUUCGUGUCCACAGAGAAUACUACAGGCUUCCAGAGGCUACAACACAGCUGGCCAAAAUAUCCAAACUACUGCUUGCCAUGGAGAAAGGGUCCAUCACAAACCUUCAGGGAAAAACUCUUGAAGAGAUUGAGAUAGAAGAUAAUCUUGACUUCACUGCUUCUGAAGCAAGUGAAGAAAGUGAAGCUGAGGAAGAUGAUCAGCCCUCAUAUCCACAAACAGACAUGGGACAGGAGAGAGCCUUGCAACCUGUUGACAAACCUGCAGCUGCCUCAGAUGACUUCAGAUUACUCUGCCCUUGUAGGGACUUCUAGGGGACAGGAGAGAGCCUUGCGACCUGUUGACAAACCUUCAGCUGCCGCAGAUGGUGACUCUGCCCUUGAAGGGACAUCUAAAGAGGAUAAUAGAAAGAAAAAGGCCAACAGAAAAAAAACCCAUCAUGAACCAAGUGUGGUUCCCAAAAAUGCUGAAGUGGAUGAUCCUAGGAGGAAACAAAAACAGCCGUGGUCUCCAGCUGAGGUUGCAGCAGUGAUGAGACACUUUAAAGAUUACAUCGAGAAGGGUAAACUGGCGACACUGAUUCAGUGUCAGCAGUGCAAGACUGCUGAGCAUCAUGCUCUUGCCAAUCGCACUGUUCAAAAUAUAAGAGACUUUGUAAGAAAUCGUGGCAUAACCCUGAAGAGGAAGAACCAGUAAGUGAACAGGCACAGUUUGAUUUUGAUAGUGUGUUUUGUUACAUGUUAAAGUUAAGAGCUGGUCUCUGUUACGUUGUGACAAAACAACAAAAAAAUAAAGUUGGUUGCUUGUAACUGUUUAUGCCUGGUGUAAUGUCUUUGUCUAUCAGAUAUGUAUUACUAGGUUUUACCUGAGGUGGCUAAUGACAUUUCAUAUUGAGUACGUCUUACAAACAUGCCUAAUUGCUCACCACAGAUCAGGUAUGUCUUUAAAUUUCACAAUAGUAUUGUGUGUAGCUAUUUGUCCUCAUAUACUGGGUGUGUCCUAUUAAUGCACAUUACCUUCAUUUUUGUGUUUGUGUGAAUCCAUGUUCCAGCAAGUCACAUUUGACCCUCCAAGUCACAUUAGUGUCAGUGUUUGUGUGUUGUGUGACAACUGUCCUUAUAAAUCAAGUUGGUUCUGAUAAUUCUCAUUUGU